CGAAACACCGGUUUCUUUACGAUCACCGAAGUUAAGCAACGUCGGGCCUGGUCAGUACCUAGAUAGGCGACCACUUGGGAAUACCAGGUGCU